AGUGAACGCUGGCGGUAGGCCUAACACAUGCAAGUCGAACGGCAGCACAGAGGAGCUUGCUCCUUGGGUGGCGAGUGGCGGACGGGUGAGGAAUACAUCGGAAUCUACUCUGUCGUGGGGGGUAACGUAGGGAAACUUACGCUAAUACCGCAUACGACCUACGGGUGAAAGCAGGGGACCUUCGGGCCUUGCGCGAUUGAAUGAGCCGAUGUCGGAUUAGCUAGUUGGCGGGGUAAAGGCCCACCAAGGCGACGAUCCGUAGCUGGUCUGAUAAGAUGAUCAGCCACACUGGAACUGGGACACGGUCCAGACUCCUACGGGAGGCAGCAGUGGGGAAUAUUGGACAAGGGGCGCAAGUCUGAUCCAGCCAUACCGCGUGGGUGAAGAAGGCCUUCGGGUUGUAAAGCCCUUUUGUUGGGAAAGAAAUCCAGCUGGCUAAUACCCGGUUGGGAUGACGGUACCCAAAGAAUGAGCACCGGCUAACUUCGUGCCAGCCGCCGCCGUAA
rnacentral:rRNA from 1 species